AUAUACAGAUGAAAACAUGGUUUCUCCCGUCUGGUCUCGGAAGUUAAGCAGGGUCGGUCUUGGUUAGUACUUGGAUGAGAGACCACCUGGGAAGCCCAGGUUCUGUAGGCA
rnacentral:rRNA from 1 species